GCUAAAACAGCACGCCUAAUCACAAUCGGUAUUGUCGUGGGUAUAUUAAUUGUCGGAUUGGUAUGCUUUUUUGUC
rnacentral:pre_miRNA from 1 species